AGAGCUGGCAGGACACAACCACACAAGGGCAAUCUCAGGAGGAUGCCCUGCUAGGGCCAUAACAAGAACAAUAGCGCUCAACACUAAAUGUUUUAUUGCCCCCUGGGUAAGAGAAUAGAUUGAUCGAUGAAUGAAUGUGUGGUAUUGUGUGGUAUUUAUGAACAUUUUGAAAAAUAAUAACUAGCUGCUUUUAACAAAUAAAUGAAGUUGUUGAAAUUUGAUAUCUGGGAAGUAUCAUUCAUUUCUAAUAAAUAUGACUCAGUGUUUAAGGUCAAAACAGUCUGUCUCAAUCCUCUGGGUCCAGCUAUGUAGACUCACACAUACAACAAACUGUUGCACUGAUCUUAUUUUAAAUGGUUAAAAAUAAUUUUCACAAAUACAAGUGCAGAGCAGUGCAUUGUUAUAACAAUGUUAAAAGGAGUUUCAUAGCAAUACUAAGAGCAGCAGAGAUGGUGCAGAAUAUAAAUGGAUACAUAAGAAGGCUAAAUAUGCAGAAGUGUUUGCAGAGAGGCAGCAAACACUUCUGCAUAUUUGGGCAUGAAAUAUGACUAAAUAUGCAGAAAUGGGGGAAAUGAGAGAGGGUAAGUUUAUUUUAAAGUCUUAAGUUCUUUAAUGCACUCAAUCUGUCUCAAGGAACUUUUUUUUAAUGAGUACAUAAGAAAACACUUAAAUAGCAAUAAAAUGAUGUUGUAUCGGUGGUAUGAUGUUGAAGUAAUGUAAAGAUAAGCUAAAUGUCAUAUACAAGUUAUGUUUUCACUCUAAUAUUGUGCGGACUUCACCUCACAGUGUAAAGGGCCAUGAGGUGAAUGAUGAUGAUUUGAUGCUAUAUGAACUUGUUGGAGCACCAUUACUGCAAUCUUAAAAUCUCAAGAUAGCAUUAUGUUUUAAAAAGGUAAAUUAUUUAAUAAACAAUAAACAAUUUUAUAAUUACAUAUAGCAUACAGAGGAACUUGAAUGUCAGUCUGUAAAGUAGAGUGGUUUACUGAGAAACUUCCUGAAAUCAUUUUGCAAGGAGGAAGAAAAAGAAAAGAGAGAUGUGGAUGAAAAACUUCAGUUUAGAGAGUCAGCAGUCAUCAGUGAGAAGAGAAGUUUUGAAGAACAAAGCAAAACAGGUAAAAAUAAAUUUUAAUCAGUUUCAAAAAGUCUUUUUAAAAGAAGAAAUGUAAAGACUUUUUCACAUCUGUAGCAGUGAUGGUGAAUAAGACCAUUAUUUAUUAAUAAAAGAUUAUGAGUGACCUAAUGCUGUCCUCUUAUUUGGCAGUUAAUAUACAUUUAAAUUAUAUUAUAUAUAUUAUACAUCUUUUAUUGAGCUGUGUGAUGUGAACUGUUGGCUUUUUCUUUAUUUUAUUUUUUGUUUUGAUUUCUUUUUGCUUCAUCUGCUGGAUAAGUUAUUCUGUGGAGGGAGAGACUGAACGUCUCGAGCAUCGAACAUGUUUGUUCUCAUCUGGUCGGCUCUGUUUGUCUCUGUAAAAGGCAGCAUUGCUGACACAGGUGUCUCAGCCUGGGGUCAACAACACUGUGUUGGAAGAUACUGUGUUACUCUGAGUGAGCGAGAACUAACAGCAGAGGCUGGACUCUGUGUUGUGAUCCCGUGUUCUUUCACUACUGCUGAUGAGUUUAAAACCAACCAUGCAGUUUGGUACAAAUGUGAAGCAUCUCAAACAAGAUGUGGUGAUGGUGACAUAAUAUUUCAUAGCAACAAAAACACAGACAGAAAAGCUCAGUCUGGGUUUGAAGGACGAGUGUCACGUUUGGAGCCUGAUGUGAGUCAGAAAAACUGCAGCAUCAUCAUUAAUGAUCUCAAAGAGUCUGAUUCUGGAUCAUAUCAGCUCAGAGUUACUGGUGAACUGAAUGGACAACAAGAUGGAUUCACGUUCAUUCCGAGAGUAACUGUCUCUGUUAAAGCAGCUCGUGUGAAACAUUGUGGUUCUUGCAGUACAGUUCUUCCCUGGAUUGUUGCUGGUGUAUCUCUCACUUUGAAUACCUUCUGCAUAUGGUUCCUUUGGUAUGUUUCUCCACAUGUGUUUUUAUGUUUUUUUGACUCUUUGAAUGCAGUCAAGACUUUUAGACCAUAAUGGGCUUCUGUUUCUUCUUAUUAAAUGAAUUCAAGAAACAAGGUGAACCUACAUCAGAAGGAGAGAACCUACAUGUCACUGCAAAAAGCGGAUGUGUCAUCAGAUUAUGAUGUUAUUGCACAACAUACAAACUGAAAAGUCAGGUUUCAGAUAGAUGUGUAAUUGUAAUGGCAGCCUGUUGUCAAUACUUUGGUGAUGUACUUAGUUUUAUUGUCUUUAUUAAAGACCGAUA